CUUCAUGGCAGUUGUACGCGGGAGAUCUUCGGGUCUGCCGGUACCUCGUUCCGGUUCGCCAACCUGCGUACAGCUGCCACCCUU
rnacentral:antisense_RNA from 1 species